CGUAUAUGUUGUUUAUUCUUCAGAAAAAGCAAUCGAGCGUGAUUCACUCGAACAGCCUCCAAAGCAAACGAGGGAUAGGAAGAUGGCAUCCACCGACCAGCCUGAUCCACCAACACAGCCUGGACUUCCACCUGGGCAUGAUGCAGCAGCUCCCCCCAGAGAAUCACUGAUUACCACUGCUGUAAAAUUUCUACAGAACCCAAAAGUACGUCAGAGUCCUUUGGCCACCAGAAAAGCCUUCUUGAAGAAAAAAGGGCUGACGGAUGAGGAGGUAGAGUUGGCCAUCCAGCGCUCUGGCAGCACAGAAGAAGUCCUGCCUCUGAGCCCUUUAGGGCCCCCACAUCAACUCCAUGCAACUCAACUGGCUACUGUACCACACAGUCCAGCAGGCUACAGAUGGAGAGACUAUGGUGCCCUCACCAUCAUUAUGGUGGGCAUCGCCUUUGGUUUUCAUCAGCUUUACAAGAAAUACAUCCUUCCCCUCAUUAUGGGCAGCCGAGAGGACAAGAAGCAUCUGCAGAGGAUGGAAAGCAACAUUGCGGCAAUGAGUGGCACGCUGACACAGACAGUCAGCCAACUGCAGCAGACCCUGGUUUCCCUCCAGGAGCUCCUGAUCCAGCAGCAGCAGAGAAUCCAGGAGCUCUCACAGGAACUGGCUGCAGCAGAGGCAUCGUCUGCAACCAACCGUAUCCUGGACAACCAAACAGUUGGAGAGCUGAAAGCUGAGAUCGUCUCUUUGAAGGGCUUAUUGCUCAGCAGGAAACAAUUCCCUUCCACUCCCUCCAUUCCUAAGAUCCCCUCAUGGCAGAUUCCCCUGAAACCUCCUUCGGCAUCCGGCUCGCAAUCCGUCAACCACACCAAUAGCAGCAGCGACAUCUCUCCUGUCAGUAACGAGUCUGCCAGCUCCUCCCCCGUCAAAGACGGACACCACAGCCCCCAGGAUGCACUGGGGGGGCCUGAUGGAGCCCUCGGUAUCAACGGUGAUACCGGCACCGUGGGCCUCGGGGCAACACUACCCCUGGACCUGAAAGACCAGGUCCGUAUGGAGGUGCAGGGGGAGGAGGAGAAGAAAGAGGAAGAGGAGGAUGAUGUCAGCCAUGUAGAGGAGGAGGAGGAGGAGGAGGAGGAGGAGGAGGAGGAUGGUCUAAGCAUACAGACAGAGGAUCGGCGAGGUGGGGACGGACAGAUUAACGAACAGGUGGACAAACUGAGGCGGCCCGAGGGUGCCAGCAAUGAGAGCGAGCUAACAAGAAGAGUCCAUGAGUGAGAAGAAGGGAUAUCAGCUCUCGUGCCAUUUCCACCUCCAUCACAUGGCCUUCAUAGGAACACAGAAAAGUGCAGAAAACUCAGGCAGGGCGAGACACACAAAGAGGAGGAAGAGGAAAGAAGAGUACUAUAAUAAUUGCAGAGACAAAAGGGCACCUCGUCUGAAACUGAAUGACUGUUAACAGUCUUAAGAUCACUAUGUACAUCACGCUUUGAUCUCCUAUCGCAGAAGCCAAGACAGCCACAAACCCGAGUCGCACAUACUGAAGAAGAACAGCAGCAUAUCUAAACAGAGCCACGUAAGGCAAAGCUGCAUGUUCCUAUGGCCCUGCAUCCAAUACGGUCUUGUUAAUGGUAAAUUGGAUGAGUGUGUGUCCAAUUCUCCAUUUCCUCAGAGGUGUCUCAGCAGCAACAGCUGCUACCAAUGGCAAAGCAGCUUUUUUCACACAGCCCCCUUUUCUGCCGUGUGACCGAGGUCUUUCCAAAAUAAGCCCAUACACAUGCAAAAAUAGAUAAAUGAACAUCUAUUGCAAAGGGCACAGGAUUUAAAGAGAGGUCUAACCGGGGCAGUGUGCUGAAAGAGACGAGGAAAACAUCUCAUCCAAAAACGUUAACUUCAAAUGAAGCAGUAAAAUGAGUGGCGCAGCCAUGUCAUAAACACAUGAUACAUGAUAUACUGUAUACCUGUGGGGCCUAUCAACAACAAGCUGCUGGACUGUGUCUGAUGACAAAGAUAAGAUAGGAGAGAAGGCAGGUCAUGCACUUUAUGCAAAAGGCUUCUCUACUUGUUCUUUCAGUCAUUUGCUGUGGUGUUCGGGCUUAGUUAUGAAAACGUCUCUUGCCACAUUUGGGGCAGAAAUAAACUCAUUGAAUUAGUUAAACAGCAACUGGCAGAGCCGAUAAACCUCAGUUUCACUUAUUAUAUCAACCUGUUGCAAAGUUCUCAUGAUCAACUUUGCAGUUGUUGUCACAUAUUUUGAGUUUUUCAUAAUUUUGCCUUUAAUUUUGCAAGUAUGGAGUCCCUUCAAUACUGGAUUUUUGAGGCCAAUACUGAAAUCAAAAUUUGAGGUUUUAAAAUGUAUUCAAGCUAUUUGUUUUUUCAUAAACACAUCUUUUGUUAGGAUCCCUUAAAUUUGUUUUUAUUUUUCUAAAUAUGUGACCAAGUACAGCUUGUGUAUGUUUAGCUGUUUCACCCUGAUUCCAAUCUUUAUGCUAAGCUAGGCAAAUCAUGUCCCACCUCCAGCGCUGCACUUAAAACACAGACAUGAAAUUGAUAUUGAUCUUUCCCAUAAAGUUGAACUGUUCCAGUGAUGCUACAGAAAAAUACACCCUUGCCAUGCUAAAAUGUCGGUUAGCUCUAUAGCUUAGAUUUGCAAAAAUACUGGCGCCUCUAGUCUAGUUUUGCCCUAGUUUAUGUGACUGUGUGGGUUUUCUCAUAGAGGGUUUCUUUCAUCUGUUUAAAAAAGUUGUUCCUGUGGUUGUCUGUUCAUAUUUUAUACUUAUUGUGUGUCUCCUUCUGUACUAAAUUGAGCACCAUGUUGAAUUUACAAAGACAAAAACAAUUUUUUGUUAGCCUUCAACAACUCCAGCUCCCAUGAGGCUUCAACAACAGGCAAAUGGCUAAGACACAUGGGAUAUAUUGUUGUUAUUGAGUAGUAACAAUGUUUUUGUUUGUUUUAUCGUGGUUAAAAUUAUGAGUUGCUCAAAUUUUACAAUCCCACACUGUUUUAGAUAAGAUUUUAGUGUAGAAUAUGCUCAGUUGAGUUACAAACACUAGCUAGCAGGUUUAAACUAGCCACACCAGCCUAUAGCAGUAUUAGCUAUAGCAAGCUAGGUGAGUGGCAUUUACCGUGGCUGCACCAAAGUCAAUUAUUUUUCUUAAAAUUCCUCUUAAUUAUUCACAUUUGUAAGUUAGUUUUGAACCGCUCUAGCUCCACCCUUUGAGGGAUACAGUAAUGAAGUGAGAUUAUAUCUGCUUUAGCAGCAAUUUAUGUGCAAGACUAGUGAACAGUGUGUUUGUUGCAAUAGUGCAUACCAAGAGGCAGUUUUAGUGGUGCCAUGCCAUUCAUCCAGCGGCCCAUUGGCCCGAAAGCCCACUACUCCGAAAGACCGUUGCUCCGAAAAUUCACACUCUCCCUGGAGUUUUUUGCCCUUUAUAUCUUAGUGUAGUUUGACAUGCAAACGUUUAUACGUUUAUAAAAUGCUUAGUUUUUAGUGUGCCCAUAACCUAAUUAAUUAACUAAUUAACUAACCCUAGCCCAUCAAAAUACACUGAGAUAUGAAGGGCAAACGACAACAGAGGUAGCCUAAUCGGAGCGCCUAACCAUAAAUAACGGCAGUGUCAGCACCAUGGACAGGGCUGGCAGUCACUGAACUUAAACAACUAAAGGGCUUUCAGUCCAAUGGGACAUUUUUCAAACCAGUGGGAUUUUGGAAUAACAGGCCUUUGGACCAAUGGGCAGUCCCCAUUUUAGCAGAAGGGAGGAUGAGGAUUAAACUGGACUGUGUCGAAGACAACACCUCCUUCUGAAGUAUCUCAGGCCCAGACACAGAGCGCUGCACUGUCUGUGCUCUUUCAUGUUGGCAGCCAUCAAACUAAAGUACAUACAGUCCAAAAAACCACAGCCAGUCAAUGCCAGUGUGCCCCGACUGACGGAUCAGUUAUUUUUGUUCACUUUUCUGUAUCCUCAAGUAUGAUCAGAAUAAAGUGAUAAUGACAACAGAAAUAAUUACACAUAUUAUCACCUUUUUUCUACUGGCUUCAUGUUGCUCUUCAUUUAUAGCUAUAGCUGUAGUUAUCUUUAUGGUGUAUAAUUUAUUUUUACAGUGCACAUCUUCAUGUCUCAGCAUUAUCUUUAAACCCACUAUUGUGGAUACAUACAUAUAUCUGAUAUGUCUGUCAUUUGACAUUUAUUAUACAGAUUUUUUAAGGUGUGUACUUAUUUUAAAAUCUCUGUCACUUAUGUUUGUGACAAGUAGUUUUUUUGCUGCUGAUAAUUGCUGAUAGUCUUAUUGCUGUCAUCUGUACAUUUUAUGCUUUUCUUUAAACUAAAAAUGUUCCAACAUUUAAA